rnacentral:lncRNA from 1 species
AUUCAUGUUUUGCAGAAAUAAACUCUGUUAAAUUUAAUUCUUUUAAAGUUUUUCUUCGAAUGAUUGCACUGGAGUAUAUGGUGAAAGAAUAUUGAAGUUUGAAGGAAGCAUCCUAAUUUUAAAAAUUGCGGAAUUACCUUUGAAGGGAAUUGAAAUCUUUGUUCAACGAAACACAAAAUGUUCUGGAGCCUGUAGAAAUCUUCAGAAGAAGUGUGCACCAGAGAUCUACCUCAACUCCCCAGAGGCCUGCACCUCAGAGUGAACACUGUCGUAUUCUGAGCUGGCUUCCUCCAGCGUUUCCUUUUUAAUCCAUAUAUGUGCUUACAUGUCUUUUUAUGAAGUUUAAGAGAUUUAUUAUGAUAUAAUCACUUCCUUAGCAACUUGGGACUACACUGAUGAGCAAGCAAGAUGGAAACAAGUCAUUAGCAUUUUAGUCCCAUGAGAAUGUGGAUUUUAUAGCACCCCAUGAAGUGUGUAUUCCCAUUUUGUGUAGGAACAACAAAAUGUUGUUUGACAGAGUAGAAAAUGCCAACCUAAGAGGGAAAAAGUAUUUGUUUCAAAUUUUCAGAUAAGAUGGUUAGCUCAUCCUAAAAUAGACUACCUGAGGUGUUUCAUUUGAAAUUUCCUAAGUAACUGAUUUUCUAUUGUGCUUUUCUUUAGCUGUUAAUCAAAUCAAAGUGAUUUUUCCAAUGUCCUUGAUUGAUAUGUGAUGCAGUUCUUCAGUGCUUCCAGGAUGAAGUUUUACCUUAAAGAGAAAGGAAAAAGGAGAACAUCUUGAUAACAGGAGCAAAAGAUGUGUGUGUAUAUGCAUGUGCGUGCACGUACAUGUGAGCACACCUGUAUGUGCGUGUUCACAGGCACAUUCUCUACUUCAGCGAACUCAACAGUAUAAUCAAAUACUGGGGAAAAUGUUGCUUGUUAUUUCACUGGUCAUUCAACUUCAAAAUAUUAUUCUGUACAGCUCCCAUAUUGAUCAAAAGGCUGAUGCUCAAACUGAAGCAGAUGGACACUUAAAAUACUCACUCUCAGCCCCAAGAGGAUCCUUGGUGGAGUGUGAGCCAAGCACAGCCCCAACAUCCAGUCACCUCCAGCCUCAUCCGUUUACCCUGAGGGCCACAGAGGUAUCAUUGUUUUUGCUGUGAGCCAAAGCAGCUCAAAGGAAGGAAGCACCGAGCAAGCAAUCAAAGUGAAGGAGAUGUGAGAGACUGGGUUGAACGUGUCUUGACCCAGUGUCUUCCGUUGGUUUCUUCAUCUCGAAAAAUGUAAAAGUAUCUACUCCUAAAAUAUACCCCAACAGAGAGAAGAAAUGGAUGCCUUGUGGCCAAAACAAGACCAGAAAAAACCCCCAGAAUAUCCUGGGUACAAGAACGAGGGAUUGAUCAUGUACCCCAGUGUUAUUCAUUGCUAUAAGAUUUUUUCCUGCAAUUAAGCAGAAACCAGCUCCUGAAAAGCAUUGCUGAAACAACGACAACUGGAAAAUUUUCUAAGCAAAUCUGAUAGGUCAGCCUGAAGCCAGCGGACAAAUUUGUGGUCCUGCCACAGCUCUAAUUAGACAGAGGACCAGUUUCAUAAGCACUCCUUACUGAUACAUGGCUGUAGACCUUAAGUCAAUUUGAGCCUCUUUGUGGAGACUGCACACAUUGUCUUUGUGCCCUGUAGUUCGCCUUUUGACAUAAGAGCUGAAUUCCACCUCAUUUUAAUACUAAAACCCACCCCAAAGUGAGCACAGGGUGUAUAUAACAUAUAUGUUUACCCAGUGAACAAGUAAGUGCCUGAUUUUCCCAGUGAAUAUUCAUAGAAUUUCUGUAACACUGCUCAGUGUGUAUGUAAGACUGACCCAUAAGUGAAACUAAGGAGUUAAUUUGAUCAGGUCUGUGUAGCCUGCUUGUUUGUGGUUGCUUGCUUUUUAAUAUCUUUUUAAAAUUCCUUUCUCCAUGAAGCUGAAGGCUGCAGUAGCUGAAGGCCUUCCUGCUGAACACAGCAACUUAACCUUCACUGGCUACGUCAUAGAUAACAUGUAUAGGUCACCAUGGUAACCGUCACUUCAGUUGUUAUUUAGGAACUUGGGCCAGCUCCUGUCCAGUUCAAACCACUUGAAGCCAUGGAUCCUUCAACUGGGCCUGCGCAAGUGCCUGAAAGGUGGCCUUUUGACAUGAGAAGGCCAAAAGCUUCACCCUCAGAUCAUGCUAACUUCUGCAUUUUCUAUACGUAUGUCCUGUGAGAUGCCGUCAACCUCGACUACGCUUGUGAAAAAUAAACCUGUUAUGUCAUUUUUCCGCACUGCCAAUCACUCUCCCCAUGCCUCAGGCCUCCACACUUCCAUAACUCCAUAAAGGCUCCACUCUGAGCCUUACUUUCAGAGAACCUCAG